rnacentral:tRNA from 1 species
GGCUGUAGCUCAGUGGUAGAGCGCCUGCCUGCCUUGCACGAGUGAGGUACUGGGUUCCAUCCUCAGCACCA